rnacentral:tRNA from 1 species
UCCCCCGUAGCUCAAUCGGCAGAGCGUCCGGCUGUUAACCGGCAGGUUAGAGGUUCGAGUCCUCUCGGGGGAG